CCUACGGGACGCACCAGUGGGGAAUAUUGGACAAUGGGCGAAAGCCUGAUCCAGCAAUGCCGCGUGUGAAGAAGGUCUUCGGAUUGUAAAGCACUUACGACGGGGACGAUGAUGACGGUACCCGUAGAAGAAGCCCCGGCUAACUUCGUGCCAGCAGCCGCGGUAAUACGAAGGGGGCUAGCGUUGCUCGGAAUGACUGGGCGUAAAGGGCGCGUAGGCGGUUUAUGCAGUCAGAUGUGAAAUCCCCGGGCUUAACCUGGGAACUGCAUUUGAGACGCAUAGACUAGAGGUUGAGAGAGGGUUGUGGAAUUCCCAGUGUAGAGGUGAAAUUCGUAGAUAUUGGGAAGAACACCGGUGGCGAAGGCGGCAACCUGGCUCGAUACUGACGCUGAGGCGCGAAAGCGUGGGGAGCAAACAGGAUUAGAUACCCCCGUAGUC
rnacentral:rRNA from 1 species